rnacentral:lncRNA from 1 species
UCUGGGGUCCUUGGAAGGCAGAGGGCACAGGACGCUGGUUCUGGCUGUCACUUGGAUAGCUAUGUAGUUGGUGGGCAAGUGACUUGCCUUGGGGAAAAUGGCUUUGCCACUAAGAACAUAGGCCCUGGAAUUAGGCAUUUCUGGGCUUGAAUCCUAGUUCUACCCCAGGGAGAAGGCAAUGUUCUAGAUAGAAACUGCUUUAUUGGCCUGGGUUUCUUGGAGCGAAGAAACAUUGAGGAGCAGAUCCCCCAGCUGAUUCAGCAGACGUGCAGCAGAAGCCGACGGAAACCUCUGCUGUUUUAAGGUGGUGAACCUAGAGGAGAGGAUCUGAAUCCCUGAUCAGUCGGUCCAGGUUUGGCUUCCUUUCUGUGCAGCUCAGAUGAGUGACUUUGGGACACUGGGGAUCAGAGAGUGAAGAACUUGCCUAUGGUCACACACCUGGCCCCCAUACUCCCUGAGACACAACAACAUUGAUAUUAGACCAGUUAAUAACUCUACAAUGGCCUGGAUCAUGGAAGGUGAUGUGGUUUGCUUGCCACAUAAAUUCAAUUUGUCUUUAAAGCUUCUCGUCUUUAAAGCUGCUUCCUCUUACAUAAAAUGAAGAUCAAAAUCUUUAUUUGACCAUGUCUACCUGCUAAAUGUUUGUGGCACUGAAGGAGCAAAGAAAGGGAAGAUCUCCUAAGACUCCAGAGAAACACAAGGA